rnacentral:lncRNA from 1 species
CAUGUGUGGCUCCUUAACCCUAGGGUUGGGACUUGUGUGAGUUGGUUUGAGAUCACCAAGUAUGCUUGUAUUGUAUAUUAUUUCUUUUCUUAUUUUGAUUACUAACCAAAAGAACAAAAAUAUGUCACUAACUCUUUUUGUUUUAAAGCUCAAGUGAUCAUGUGCUCUCAUGCUCCUAGAAGGCUCCUAAGCUCAAUGAAGUGGCUAAAUGAAGAUGAGAAA